UACGAGGGGGGCAAGCGUUGUUCGGAAUUAUUGGGCGUAAAGGGUGCGUAGGCGGUUUUGUAAGUCUUGUGUGAAAUCUUCAGGCUCAACUUGAAGACUGCACGAGAAACUGCAGGGCUUGAGUGUGGGAGAGGUGAGUGGAAUUCCUGGUGUAGCGGUGAAAUGCGUAGAGAUCAUGAGGAAGACCAGUGGCGAAGGCGGGUCUCUGGACAGUUCCUGACACUGAG
rnacentral:rRNA from 1 species